CCAUCUCUGAUAAUAAUAAAAAGGGCGACUACAUAGAAUUCGCCCUCUUCGAUAAAUUUAUUAAAAAUACAAAUAAAAAAUGCCAAAUUCCUUUCGUCGUCCACAAUUGCGCUUUCUAAGAUUCUUCAAUUUAGCUUUCUCUUCUCAAUUUCUCUUUCCCUCCCCUAAAUCUCCAGUUUAGCUUUCUCUCUCCCUCUCCAUCUUCAACUUCUCUGUUCAUAAACCCUAACUUUAUGCGUUUUGAUUGAGUUUGUCUGAAAUUUGGUUAAGUUCGCCUGAAAUUUGGUCCAAUCGCACAUAUUUUCUCAUAUUCGAAGUUCAUAUGUUUUUGGUUAAUUAUUUAGGGUUUUGUUUUGUGAAUCUAUGGAAUCUUACAAUUUGAGGUCUAUGUUGGAGUUACUGGUUCCCUUCAGACAAACCUUCAAUUUGAGGUCUGCUUGUGAUUCAAUCAUUGCAAUUUAUUUGUGUUAUUAUAUUAGUGUGAAAGUCAAACCAUUGGACACAACCGGUGCAGGCAAUGCAUUUGUGGGAGGCUUUCUGACAGUUUAGUUUCCGACUUGAAAUUAUUGAAGGAUUCCAAGCCUUUUUGAUGAUUUCCUAUAAGUUUGUGUCAAAGAACAAGAUUGCGCGAUAAUCCUUAGUCCACAAAAGAUCAUCUAUCAAGUUUGUCAUAAGCACUGAGAAAACGUUUGAUACACACUACUACAAUUUCCGUGUUUUGGCGACGCGGCUUAUUAACGACGCCGAAAGGCGUCGAGAAAAAUGGCCUCGACACCUGUCAAUAUCGUCGAGAAAAUGCAAGUCGAGAAUUCGCGACGCUUAAAGGCGUCGAGAAUUGGGACGACCUCAGCUGCCCAGACAACAAGCAGGGCGUCGUGAAUGUUGACGCCUUCCAACGUCUUAAAUUUGUAUCUUGCGUCGACAAUUGUGACGACCUUCGCUGUCCAAAAAUGAUCAGGGUGUCGAGAUUCUCGACGCCUUACAACGUCUUAAAAUUUUUUCUAGGCGUCAAGAAACUUAGAUCUAAACCGGGAUUAAAAAAAAUUGUCGACGCUUUUUUGCGUCCUUAUUCCAAACAUCAUUUGUUGUGCAUUGUU